AAUAAGCUCCGGCUAACUACGUGCCAGCAGCCGCGGUAAUACGUAGGGAGCGAGCGUUGUCCGAAUUCACUGGGCGUAAAGCGCGCGUAGGCGGGUUCUUAAGUUGGUGGUGAAAUCCCGAGGCUCAACCUCGGAACUGCCUCCAAAACUGGGAACCUUGAGGUAUGGAGGGGGAAGUGGAAUUCCAGGUGUAGCGGUGAAAUGCGUAGAUAUCUGGAGGAACACCCGUGGCGAAGGCGGCUUCCUGGCCAUAUCCUGACGCUGAGGUGCGAAAGCUAGGGUAGCGAACGGGAUUAGAUACCCCGGUAGUCCUAGCCGUAAACGAUGGAUACUAGGUGUUAGAGGUAUCGACCCCUCUAGUGCCGAAGCUAACGCA
rnacentral:rRNA from 1 species